GAUGAACGCUGGCGGCGUGCCUAAUACAUGCAAGUCGAGCGAACAGACGAGGAGCUUGCUCCUCUGACGUUAGCGGCGGACGGGUGAGUAACACGUGGAUAACCUACCUAUAAGACUGGGAUAACUUCGGGAAACCGGAGCUAAUACCGGAUAAUAUAUUGAACCGCAUGGUUCAAUAGUGAAAGACGGUUUUGCUGUCACGUAUAGAUGGAUCCGCGCCGCAUUAGCUAGUUGGUAAGGUAACGGCUUACCAAGGCGACGAUGCGUAGCCGACCUGAGAGGGUGAUCGGCCACACUGGAACUGAGACACGGUCCAGACUCCUACGGGAGGCAGCAGUAGGGAAUCUUCGGCAAUGGGCGAAAGCCUGACGGAGCAACGCCGCGUGAGUGAUGAAGGUCUUCGGAUCGUAAAACUCUGUUAUUAGGGAAGAACAAAUGUGUAAGUAACUAUGCACGUCUUGACGGUACCUAAUCAGAAAGCCACGGCUAACUACGUG
rnacentral:rRNA from 1 species